rnacentral:rRNA from 1 species
UACGAAGGGGGCUAGCGUUGCUCGGAAUCACUGGGCGUAAAGCGCACGUAGGCGGACUCUUAAGUCAGGGGUGAAAUCCUGGAGCUCAACUCCAGAACUGCCUUUGAUACUGGGAGUCUUGAGUUCGGGAGAGGUGAGUGGAACUGCGAGUGUAGAGGUGAAAUUCGUAGAUAUUCGCAAGAACACCAGUGGCGAAGGCGGCGACCUGGACAGAUAUUGACGCUGAGGUGCGAAAGCGUGGGGAGCAAACAGG